UUCAUGUAACCAAGCACUGCUGAAUCUGGAAAGGUGGAAAAGGAAGUUGACCAUGAGAGGACCUCCAGAUGAGAAUUUCUCUCUACUUCACACGUUUAAUUUCUGUAAAACUUUGUCGCCAUUGACCCCUGCUUUUCAGUGAAAGCCCUAAAAGCCCUACAUCUGCCAAAAAUUCUACUACAAACCUGUGUGCAAACGCAAACUUCUGUUGCCAGAGACAGUCAACAGCAUUCACAGCAAGUUCAGCAAGUACAUGCAGGCAUCACUUUGUGAGGAAUCUGUUGUCAGAAAUCCUCUGUUCUUCUUCAUGAGGAAUCUGUUGCCAGAAAACCCGUUCUCAUGGUUUUCGGUUCCUCUUUUAUCCUUCUUGUUCUCCUGCUGAUGUGACAAGGAUGGGCCUUGACCAAGAGACAUUGAGUACCCCCUGAGAUGGCCAUCAUCCUGAGGUAAGCCCCCACAAAAGAACACUUCACAGCGAUUUAGCUGCAGCUCAUCUCUCUCUCGUUGCCCCUGGCCUUGUCCAUCUGUGUCCCCCACACAAAGGAUUUCACAACCCUUACCUAGGACUUG